rnacentral:rRNA from 1 species
UACGUAGGUGGCGAGCGUUGUCCGGAUUUACUGGGCGUAAAGAGCGCGCAGGCGGUCGUGCAAGUCGUGUGUGAAAGCCCCCGGCUCAACUGGGGAGGGUCACGCGAUACUGCUCGACUCGAAGGCAGGAGAGGGAAGUGGAAUUCCCGGUGUAGUGGUGAAAUGCGUAGAUAUCGGGAGGAACACCAGUGGCGAAGGCGACUUCCUGGCCUGUUCUUGACGCUGAGGCGCGAAAGCUAGGGUAGCAAACGGG